GCACAGAACCAGGACCGUUUUUCUUAGAACCAGCACAGCGUCAGGACAAUUCCGUUUAACGAACUUGCACGACUUUUGCAAUAUAAUAUUGUUGUAAUAUACUUUGCAUGGUACUUAUGACGCAUCAGAGAAAAAUUAAGCAACAAAACAGUCGUUUUAUUGCCGUUCUGAUACAAUGUAAACAAACCCACCAGCACAGAAUCAUUACCCACCAGCACCUGACAGGACCAAAUCACCAGCA
rnacentral:lncRNA from 1 species